AACGAACGCUGGCGGCAUGCCUAACACAUGCAAGUCGAACGGGAUCCUAGCUUGCUAGGUGAGAGUGGCGGACGGGUGAGUAACACGUGGGAAUCUGCCUUUUGGUUCGGGAUAACCGCGGGAAAACUGCGGCUAAUACCGAAUGCCCUCGAGAGAGGAAAGAUUUAUCGCCAGAAGAGGAGCCCGCGUCCGAUUAGGUAGUUGGUGGGGUAAAGGCCUACCAAGCCGACGAUCGGUAGCUGGUCUGAGAGGAUGAUCAGCCACACUGGGACUGAGAUACGGCCCAGACUCCUACGGGAGGCAGCAGUGGGGAACAUUGGACAAU
rnacentral:rRNA from 1 species